rnacentral:rRNA from 1 species
GUUGAUCUGGCUCAGGAUGAACGCUAGCGGCAGGCUAACACAUGCAAGUCGAGGGGCAACGCGAGUAGCAAUACUUGGCGGCGACCGGCGCAAGGGUGCGUAACGCGUGAGCAACAUGCCCGUAUCAGGGGGAUAAUCCAGGGAAACUUGGUCUAAUACCCCAUAGUAAUUUUGUAAGGCAUCUUAUAAGAUUUAAAGCUUUGGUGGAUACGGAUUGGCUCGCGUGACAUUAGCUGGAUGGUAAGGUAACGGCUUACCAUGGCUAUGAUGUCUAGGGGUUCUGAGAGGAAGGUCCCCCACACUGGAACUGAGACACGGUCCAGACUCCUACGGGAGGCAGCAGUGAGGAAUAUUGGACAAUGGAUGGAAAUCUGAUCCAGCCAUGCCGCGUGAAAAGGAAGAAGGUCCUAUGGAUUGUAAACUUCUUUUGUAUGGGAGCAAUAAGGCCUACGAGUAGGCUGAUGAGAGUACCAUACGAAUAAGCACCGGCUAACUCCGUGCCAGCCGCUGC